GAUGAAUGCUGGCGGCGUGCCUAACACAUGCAAGUCGAGCGGCCGCGCGGGGUGCUUGCACCCUGUCGGCGAGCGGCGAACGGCUGAGUAACGCGUAGGAAUUUUCCCCAAAGUGCGGAGUAACUUCCCGAAAGCGUAGCUAAUUCCGCAUAUAGUCUUCGAAUUACAGGAUUUAUCCGCUUUGGGAGGAGCUUGCGUGGGUUUAGGUUGUUGGUAGGGUAAUUGCCUCUCAAGCCGACGAUGCAUAGCUGGUCUGAGAGGAUGCGCAGCCAGCCUGGAACUGAGAAGCGGUAGAGACUCCUACGGGAGGCAGGAGAGAGGGAUGGACCAAAAUGGGGGAAAGGCUGAUGGAGCAACGACGGGUGAAGGAUGAAGGCAUUGGAGCAGUAAAGUGCUUUUAUGAGUGAAGAAUAUGACGGUAACUCAUGAAUAAGCAACGGCUAACUACGUG
rnacentral:rRNA from 1 species